UAUGCCCUUGAGCAGAGAUGAACAAGAUGUA
rnacentral:piRNA from 1 species